AGUGCUCCUUUAGUGGAAAUGCUCCUGAGCCAGUGAUUGAGCACCUGGUGGGAAGGCAGGGCCAGCCCAGGGGAACUCAGGUGCAUGCAAUGCCUUUGAGUGACCAGAAGAGGUGGAGCCAGGAUCUACCCCUUCCCACAUUUCAUUUAAGGGUUGGAAGUAGAGGUGUGGGCAUCUUUUGCUGGAAGUCCCUGCCUACCUGAGGCUAUCCAAAGUGUACCAAAAGCGGAUCAAAUCUGUGGGACAUGGCACAAGGAAAUAAUUAUGGGCAAAGCAGCAAUGGGGUGGCUGAUGAAUCCCCAAACAUGCUGGUGUACAGAAAGAGAAGCUACUGCUGUGCUUUGCCAUGAAUGGAGCAGUGUGAUUUAAGGAUGUGGUCACCUGAUAUGAAUUUGGAAUGUUUUGGCUGCUGACGUUUAUGCUACGUAAGGCAGAUCAAAUGGCUUGUGAGAACUAGAUCUAUAUCUCAGGAACUGCUAGCGACUCUUUUUUAUGAAGUGACUAGAUUUCUUGUUUUGAAUAGCAAAAUAUAUGUGCCUCAACUUUGCAUCACAUUCAGAAACAGUUUAGAAUUUGAAAUCUUCACGUAUUUACUUCAUUUUAUGCAUUGAAACAUAUGGCAUGUGAUGAUGGUGAUGUGUCAGAGUCUGGAAAAUGUUGUGGGUUCAAGUGUUCACUCGCAAAAUCUAUCGUAAAACGAAUGCACGUGUUAUACUUACCUGCAAUCACCAGAACAUAAAACCAGAAAAAUUGAAACAAAACACAACAUGACAACACAAAUUUACGCUCUGGGGAUUCUUUCUGGAAAGCAUAUCUAAUGUAGUUAUUCUAAUGCCAUCAAUACACAAAUUUCCAGAUUCUGAGCUCCAACAUUCUGGUUUAUAUAGCCUCUACACUUUCAUUUUUGUUAAAGUAGUUGCUUGGGGAUUUUGUGAUGGAUUGAUACGUUAUUAUUUUUCUUUAUUUUAAACUUGACAAUUGUGUUUAUUAUCAUAAUUUUUUUAUUCACUGGGAGAAUGACACAUCUUAAUGCAGAAGAAUAGCUGUUCUUGCAAACUGAAAUAUGUAAUUACACAACUACUUGUUUAUUCCUAGAAUGCAGUGCUUUCUAACUUGUUUGUGGUUAUUUCUACCAGGUGGAAAAAUCAAUAUUUUUUUCUUAGCACCCUCGACUUUUCUUUUUCCAAUUUAACUGUAAUAGAAAAUAUCUGACAUGUAUUCAGAUAAGUUUUUGAGGUGAACUGAGGUAUUGCCAGUAACUGUGGUGUUUUUUCCCCAGAAAUUAUAAAAGCAGUUGCAAAAUGAAGACUGGUACAUACUUUAUUUUUUCAUUCUUAUUUUUAAAUACAUUGCUGAUUUCAGUGAGUUUCAGUGGUAUUUUCCAUGGUUUGCCAUUUUGGAAAAUUGGGCUUCUUUUUACACAAAUGAGAUUUAUGAACUUAAUCUCAGUAUACAUGUGUAAGAAUAGACAUCUGGAAAAAAUACAGAGAACCUUACCAGUAACUUGACAAGUGUGUUUCAGAAUGAAAUAAUGUGCAUGAAUUUAUAUGUAAAAAAUGUGCUGUGCAGAUAUAAAGCAAUAAAGCAAAGCUUAUUGUCCUUUAUAGGCUUCUGAUCUUUCCGAACAGCAUCUUUUCAUAUUUGUCAUGUACCUCUAUGCUGAAAAAGUGCCUAUUUAGUAGUUAGUGGGGGAAAAAACAGAGAAACUGUUUUCUUCUCCAGUGGUGUGUAUGUCUGAGUAGCAGGCUGAGCUUAUAAUCCAUUGUAUUUAGUCUUAUCUUAUGCCACAAUUUAACACUGCCCCUGAGCAGCCUCCAGAUUAAAAGGAAAGUUCUGAGGCAAGUGACCAAAAUGUUGGUGAUGCAGGGAAAACUUGAAAAUGAGGAGUGGAAAUAGGACAUAAAGCCUCAUGUAGUCACUCAGUGUCAAAUAUCUUUUCAGUAAAUCAAAGGCGUGGGGAUCGUAUCAAUUUGUGUCCAGUAUGAUAGUGGUUAUUCUCUUGAUGUUAAAGUGCAAGUGGUGUACUGAGUAUUAAACUUUCACAAAUACUGACCUUCUGCAGUAUUAUCUGCCAUAUUUAUUUUAAUACACUUCAACGUAUUAUUUUGGCAUAGUAAAUCAGAAGGGUCAUUUAAGAUGGUUAGCGUACAAAGAGUAUAAACUUAAGUAGUCCUUCCUUUGGCAGAACUUAAGGAA